rnacentral:rRNA from 1 species
AUGUGAAGCUGACCAAUACUAAUUGCUCGUGAGGCUUGACUAUACAACACCCA